rnacentral:misc_RNA from 1 species
CGCGCCUCGAAUUUGCCGUCCGUGUCGACGGUGAAAGACUUCAGACUCUUCGGGAGGAGGCCGACGGGGAGGCCGUGGGACUGCAGCGCCUGGUGGGCAGCCGCCGCCGCGGAGGCGGCGGCCUCCGCCGCCGCCGCCUGCGGCGGCGGCGGCGAGAUGAGGUGUUGCAUCGUCUCUCCCAACUCCGCGGCGGUGACAGCGGAAUCCGACCCGCUGGG